UACGGGGGGGGCAAGCGUUGUUCGGAAUUACUGGGCGUAAAGGGCUCGUAGGUGGCCAACUAAGUCAGACGUGAAAUCCCCAGGCUCAACUUGGGAACUGCGUCUGAUACUGGUUGGCUUGAGUGCAGGAGAGGAACGCGGAAUUCCAGGUGUAGCGGUGAAAUGCGUAGAUAUCGGAAGGAACGCCGGUGGCGAAAGCGCACGACUGGUCCUCUUCUGACGCUGAGGCGCGAAAGCCAGGGGAGCAAACGGG
rnacentral:rRNA from 1 species